UACGUAGGGUGCGAGCGUUAAUCGGAAUUACUGGGCGUAAAGCGUGCGCAGGCGGCUAUUUAAGCUUGCUGUGAAAGCCCCGGGCUCAACCUGGGAAUGGCAGUGAGGACUGGAUGGCUAGAGUGUGGCAGAGGGGGGUGGAAUUCCACGUGUAGCAGUGAAAUGCGUAGAGAUGUGGAGGAACACCGAUGGCGAAGGCAGCCCCCUGGGCUAACACUGACGCUCAUGCACGAAAGCGUGGGGAGCAAACAGG
rnacentral:rRNA from 1 species